CAGUUAUAAGCUGUUGGUUAUACUUAGUAUUCCCAACAGUCAUAAACUGUUGGCUAUACUUAGUAUUCCCAACAGUUAUAAACUGUUGCAAAAAAUUCUUUUUAGCAUGUUAUUUACUAUCAGAUUUUAAAUUUAUUUUAAAUAAAUAAAUAAUAAAAUAAUUAAUUAAAGAUAAAAUUAAAUAGAGUAUAUAUAUAAAAGUAUAAUCUUAAUGUGAAAAACUAAAUUGAAAAUAAUAAAUUAUUGUAUUAGACUGGAAAAAUAUUUUAUAGAGUUUUCUUUUUUAAAAAAAAAAAGUUGGAGGUUAAAUAUACAAUUUGUUUUAUUUAUUUUUGUUAAAUUUAAAAAGAAAAAUCUAGAAAAUAUUUUUUACAUAACUUUUUUUAAAAAAAUACUUGAGACGUGUAAGUUCUAAAUUUAAAGACUUGUGUAUAUAAGUUAAUAUCUUAUUUAUACAUCAGAUUUUUAAUCUUAUAAUAUAUAUAUAUUUUUUUUAUUUUUAUUAAACAAAAAAGAACUAAAAAACUAACCCUAACACACUUUUCUCUCAGUCACCGCACUAACUCUAACAUAUUUUGCCGCACAUCACUUUUUUCCCUCUCUCUUAACAAAGCUAAGUCUCAAAGUUUCUCUCUCGGUCGCAGGAGAAGGUGGAGGGGAUGGCGACGAGCUUUGCACGGUGAGGAUUGGUUCGGGGUUAUCGCCAGGGUCACUCGCUCUCUCUCUCUCUCUCUCUCUCUCUCUCUCUCUCUCUCUCUCAUUUUCUCGGACGAGUCUCCGGCAAUGAAAUCCAUGGAUCUCGACGUCUCUAGUUGAGUCGUCGUCUUUGGGGCACACAAGUUCAUCAACCAGGUCCAUCAAUACAAAGUUUUUUGAUCAUGGGCCUAAAGCCCAUAUACCACCAUAGCAUGUGCCUCUUCCUCCAUUGCCUAUGUGCUCCCCUUUGUUUAUCUUAUUCGUUUCCUCCUUUCACUUUUCACCAUCACCAUCAGGUGUUUCAUUAUCCAUUGAAACAAAGCUCAUGAUCAACACUUCACAAGAGACAACACGACGCUGUCUUGGUCUUCGUUGCUGGCAGAUUUUUUAUUUUUAGUAUACAUAAUUUUUGUUUAGAUUAAAUUGUAAUAUUUAUAUUUAUUAUUUAUUUUGAGUUUGUAUAUUUUUUUUGAAUUGUAUCUUAUGGAUAUUCUGAAAUAUAAUUUUUUUCAUCAA